rnacentral:tRNA from 1 species
UCUCUGGUGGUCCAGUGGUUAAGACUCUGUGCUUCCAAAGCAGGGAGCACAAGUUCAAUCCCUGGCCAGGGAA